rnacentral:rRNA from 1 species
GGCGAACGCUGGCGGCGUGCUUAACACAUGCAAGUCGAGCGGUAAGGCCCUUUCGGGGGUACACGAGCGGCGAACGGGUGAGUAACACGUGGGUGACCUGCCCUCAGCUCUGGGAUAAGCCUGGGAAACCGGGUCUAAUACCGGAUAUGACUCCAUGACGCAUGUUGUGGGGUGGAAAGCCUUGUGCGGCUGAGGAUGGGCCCGCGGCCUAUCAGCUUGUUGGUGGGGUGAUGGCCUACCAAGGCGACGACGGGUAGCCGGCCUGAGAGGGCGACCGGCCACACUGGGACUGAGACACGGCCCAGACUCCUACGGGAGGCAGCAGUGGGGAAUUUUGUGCAAUGGGGGAAACCCUGACACAGCGACACCGCGUGAGCGAAGAAGCCCUUUGGGUGUAAAGCUCUGUCAACGGGAACGAAAAAAUAGACGGUACCCGUGGAGGAAGCAUCGGCUAACUACGUGCCAGCAGCCGCGGUAA